AUGAUUGUUUAAAGUUUUUUUCUAAAAAGUCAACAAUUUUAUUUAUCACUUUUCGCUGCGCUAUAAAAAGAAAGGUACUAAUUUAGUACAAUUAAACAUUGUUGACUCAGAAGAAAAUAGUGAAGCUGAAAAUGUACCUACUAAACAUUUAGAGACUAAUGUUGUGAAUGUAGCUGUUGUGAGUGUGCAGCAUUUAGAGGAACAGAUUGAUUCGGAUAAUGUGUCUGUUGAAAAUUUAAGAGAUGACAAUGACGUCAAAAAAGAGGAGGACAAUAUUAAUAUUGAAUAUACACCUCCUGUUAAGGUUGAAAAUUAUGUUAUGACCAAUAAAUUAAAAUUGGUAAGCAUUUGGUUUUCUUUAUUCAAUUCGAAGGAUUCUUGUAAUUCGAUGGCUGUUUUUGAAAGACUGAUUUUACCACUGAAAGAGUUUGACAUUUGGAAUCCGAGAGAGGGACGUUCCGCUCCGUUUGUCAUUUUUCAUGAUGGAACAGAUUAUAGAGGGAGAGAUUGGUGGACUUUGAUACCUUGCGUUGAUUUGAUAAAAUUUGCCAUAUUGCUACAGUUAAAUGCUUAUGGACAUGAUGGCAUAUUUUAUUUGGAGGGAAGGUAUUUUUUUUUGAGUCCAACAGGAUUAAAAUUGUUGAUGAAGAACUUAUAUCCUGGGAGGGAAAUAAAAGAAUUCUUAAGAAGUUGCCUACAAUUGAAUACGAAGGUGUUACUAUAACUUUGCCUGCUGAGUUUGCUGCGAAAAAGAAUUCGAUUAUUAAUGAUCAUAAAUCUUUGUUGGACAAAUGUUUUGACACUGAAGAAAUCUUUAUUUUAUAUAAUCGAAAAGUAAAAUUUGUGGGUGACUCAAUGAUUCGAGUGUGCAAAUAUGAUUAAUGGUUUAGUGAGCAAUUUCAACUAUUAGGUUAUAAACAGAAGAGAACUUCUUUGAAAACUUUUCGUAUGCGCAUGGAACUUCCUAUGGAGUGGAAACUUAAUUUUUAUUGCUCAAUAAAUGAAGGAUUUUCUAAUCUAAAAAGGCACAUGUUGGAAUCGACAGAUCUUUUGGGGUCUCCUUUUUUUGCUGGAGGUGUGAAAUGGAUGAUAAAUGGUCAUCAGGUGAAUCGUGUAAGUGUUAAAAACUUAUUUUCUUGUUUAUUAUAUGCAUUUAACUAAAAAAACUUGUG